AGCUUCGUGGUUUUUCCUGCUGGCUUUCCAGUCUUGGAUAGCAUCUCUUAGAAUAGUUUGCAGCUAGCUAACCAGUCAACCAUAACUGUCAAAAGGAGCUACUGUGGAGAGUUAAAAAUCACCACCAACACCUGUCUCUGCAGUGUCCACUUAGUUAUAUACAGUUACAGGGACUGUCACCAGGUAAAGUCUGGAUAUCUGAAGAGUCUGUUGACGCUGGUCAGUGGGGCUGAACCGCUCUGUCCCGGCUGGCGAAGGGGAGACGAAGCGCAGAUGAGAGGGAAUGUGAAGCUCUAAGCCGUUCAGCAAAGAUGACCCCAAGACGUGCUGGAGCCUUUUUUAAAUUAUGUUCAGUACCAGAUGCCUUGUACAUCAACCUCCUUUCCUUUGUUUGCAUUUGUGGAAUGCUAGGUGCCAGUUAGUUACCUUGUGCAUCAGCCUGUAUGCUACUUGAGGACUGCCCCCCUGAAGACCUCCCUUGGGCCACAUGCAAGUGAGCAAACAUAAUUUUUCUGGAAAGUUGAAAGUUCAAUAAAACUAUUUUCUUUUUAAAAAUAAGCAUCAUGUUCUAGUAUUUGAAUAUAUCACUUAAA